UGAGGAAUAUUGGUCAAUGGGCGGAAGCCUGAACCAGCCAAGUCGCGUGAGGGAAGACGGUCCUAUGGAUUGUAAACCUCUUUUGUCGGGGAGCAAAGCCGCGUUCGCGAACGCGGAAGGAGAGUACCCGAAGAAAAAGCAUCGGCUAACUCCGUGCCAGCAGCCGCGGUAAUACGGAGGAUGCGAGCGUUAUCCGGAUUUAUUGGGUUUAAAGGGUGCGUAGGCGGAAAUAUAAGUCAGCGGUAAAAUCGCAGGGCUCAACCCUGUCCCGCCGUUGAAACUGUUUUUCUUGAGUGGGCGAGAAGUAUGCGGAAUGCGUGGUGUAGCGGUGAAAUGCAUAGAUAUCACGCAGAACUCCGAUUGCGAAGGCAGCAUACCGGCGCCCAACUGACGCUGAGGCACGAAAGCGUGGGGAUCGAACAGG
rnacentral:rRNA from 1 species